ACUCAGUUGGUAGAGCAUGGUGUUUGCAACGCCAGGGUUGUGGGUUCGAUUCCCAU
rnacentral:tRNA from 1 species